GAUCAGCUGACCUGAGGCACCGAGCAGGGGUGUAGGGGUGGAGAAGCUCAGAGAGGUAAGAUGGAGCCAGACCAUUUAAAGAUUUAAAAACAAAAAAAAGAAUCUCAAAAUGAACUCUAAAAUGCACAAGUAGCCAGUGGAGGGAGGCCAGGAUGGGAGUUAUGUGCUCCCUUUUACGUACUCCAGUUAAGAGGUAGUAGUGGUAGAGGAAGUAAGGUGUCAUUGUCAUUGGUGUUUUUUUUUUCUUUUGUUAUCAAAUAUAAAAUGUAACUGGCUGUACCAUAUAAUCCUCAGUCAAUUAUUGUUCUCACCAGGGGCUUCAGCGGCUGUCCAGGCGGACUUUCUCCAGCAGUGCUCGCAGACAGAUAGAUAACACUGUGAAAGACAAACAAAAACUUUUUCAGGUGGGGUGAAUCUAUUGAAAAACACAGCAUAUAGUCUCUUGAGUUACAGGUCUUUUAUUGCAGUGUGACUCUUGAUUUCUGAUGCUUGUCAUAACAAGUACGAGGGAGAGUUUUUCCUGAACAUAAGUGUGAUUUAUACAUAUUUAUUUACACAAAACAGUGUACUUUACUGUGGAGGUAUUGUAAUAUCAAGAUUUGAAAAACUUUGAUGUAAAUUUUGAAAAGUAUUGUAAUAAGUGGGAACCUUUUUUUAAAGUAGUUAUAUGCCUGCUUGAGUUGUGUUUCUUUGAACUUUGUUUUCUUUCAUCUGUGUUUCAAGUGCACAGAGAAUGAGACCUUUCUGUACAGAUAAUGAUAAUGUUAAAGUUUCUACUCUGUUCCCAGGUUCUGCAGACAGAAUCUAAUUAUAUCCUCUUUGUAGCCUGACAGAUAAGUAUGAGUGGGUUUCUCUAUAACUGUACAAUGAUAUUCGGCUGUAGUUGAAACUGGAAUUACACUAAUAAUGCUUGCAAGCAGCUAAUUAAAAACCCAUUGCAAAAACAAAGUUCCAAUGUGGUGGGCUUUGCUGAUCCCGGCAUAGCGCAAGAAAUUGCUGCAGCUAAAUUAGAUAGAUGGCCUACCCAUGCCUCAUAGUCAAAGAGCAAGCACUGCUUCAUUGCGUAGUGUCCUUAUGCCACCCCCUAAGUGCUGUGGUUAAAUAGAGAUGAGCUUGACAAAAAAAUGGAAUACCAGAGAAAGUCCUAAACAGAAAUAUAGAAAUGUAUAGGUCCCUUGCACUCAUUAGAACUUUAUUUUUUUUUCCACAAAUUGAACAGGAGGACAAUGGUAUACCUAUUCAUCUGAAGGGCGGGACGAAGGACGCCGUGCUCUUCAGAACCACGAUGAUGCUCACUGCGUUUGGUAAGCCAGCAUUUGUCUGAGAUUUGAUGAGUCAGGAGAACUACAGAUGUCUCUGUCUGUGUUUCUGAAAAAGAAACAUUUCAUACCAGUGACUUGACCAUAGAUGUUAUUACUGAAACUCUCAUUGAAAGUUGAAUAACUGUAAUUUCACAACGCAUCAUCGAGGGUUGUUUGAAGUCAUGACAAUUAGCCUGUGUUGUAUCUCAGUCACAUCUGUAGUGCUUGUUUGAUCUCUUUGCAGGGAGUGGAUAUGUUGUGUAUGAGCUGUUCACUGCUGCGAUGCCCAAGAAACCACAGUGAAACAGCAUCAACAAAGUGGAUUAUACAAUGUGGUGCAACAAGCUCACAUUAGCUGUAUGUAUGACCUGACCUCAUGUGCAGACAAGGAAUUAUUUGUCCUAUCAAGAUCAUUAUUUUUGAUUGUAUAAAAGUUAAUAUUUAUCAACUUUGUAAAAAUAAAAACUACAACUCUAUGAAUUGUGUGAUUUUGAAAACUCAAAAUGGACUGAAUGAACAUGUAUUUAUAGCUGCUGUAAGUCGUUGGUGUCACCGCUAGGGGGCACCAAUAACUAAUCCAUCAGAAGAGCUGUAAUUGCAGCAGAGUGAAAGUGGACUUUAACGAAAACAUUUUGCUUUUUCUGUGUAUAAAAUAUUGCAUCAUGAUCAUGUCUUUUUUUUUAUUAUUAAAGUCGUCAGUUAAAUUGGA
rnacentral:lncRNA from 1 species